GACGAACGCUGGCGGCGUGCUUAACACAUGCAAGUCGAACGGUAAGGCCCUUCGGGGUACACGAGUGGCGAACGGGCGAGUAACACGUGGGCGAUCUGCCCUGCACUUCGGGAUAAGCCUGGGAAACUGGGUCUAAUACCGGAUAGGACCACCGCCUUCAUGGGGGGUGGGGGAAAGCUUUUGCGGUGUGGGAUGGGCCCGCGGCCUAUCAGCUUGUAGGUGGGGUGAUGGCCUACAAAGGCGACGACGGGUAGCCGGCCUGAGAGGGUGACCGGCCACACUGGGACUGAGAUACGGCCCAGACUCCUACGGGAGGCAGCAGUGGGGAAUAUUGCACAAUGGGCGCAAUCCUGAUGCAGCGACGCCGCGUGAGGGAUGACGGCCUUCGGGUUGUAAACCUCUUUCAGCACCGACGAAGCGCAAGUGACGGUAGGUGCAGAAGAAGGACCGGCCAACUACGUGCCAGCCGCCGCAGUAA
rnacentral:rRNA from 1 species